AAGCGUGACAGAAGCAAGCUAAUUUUUCAUUAAUUCAAAUAUUUGCAAAAGGUGGGUGCCUCGAGCACCGCUUUACAAAAAAAAAACAAGAAGAAAAGAGAGAAAGAUUUCUUUUACAAGAAAAAGGAUGGCAUUCUAAGUGCCAUAUUAUACACAAAGACAAGAUCAUGCCAGUCUAGAAGAUCAUGCCGGUCCAAAAGCAGAUCCCCGUUAGCCGACAAACCCAGUUCGGAGCUCUCAUCAUCAUAAGUGACAGC
rnacentral:lncRNA from 1 species